rnacentral:ncRNA from 1 species
CCCGGUGAGGCAGGGGGGCAAGCCCCGAGGGAUGAGCAGUGUGUGGGGAGUUUAAUCGGGUCGGUACACCUGUCAAAGCUAACACAGUUGUCCUGCGGUGAGCUCAGAGAGGAUGGAAACUUCCUGCACAGCAGAAGGGCAAAAGCUCACUUGAUCUUGAUUUUCAGUACAAAUACAGACCAUGAAAGUGGGGCCUCAUGAUCCUUCUGGCUUUUUUAGUUUUAAGCAAUAAGCAUCAGAAAACUUACCACAGGUGUAACUGGUAUGUGGCGGCCAAGCAUUCAUAGCAACGUCACGUUUUGAUCCUUUGAUGUCGGCUCUUCCUAUCAUUGUGAAGCAGAAUUCACCAAGCGUGGGCUUGUCCACCCAGUAAUAGGGAACUUGAGCUAGGUUUAAACUGUCGUGAGACAGGUUAGUU